UACGGAGGGGGCUAGCGUUGUUCGGAAUUACUGGGCGUAAAGGGCGCGUAGGCGGGCGAUCAAGUCAGGGGUGAAAGGCCUGGGCUCAACCUGGGAAUUGCCUUUGAAACUGAUUGUCUAGAGUCCGGAAGAGGAUGGCGGAAGUCCCAGUGUAGAGGUGAAAUUCGUAGAUAUUGGGAAGAACACCAGUGGCGAAGGCGGCCAUCUGGUCCGGUACUGACGCUGAGGCGCGAAAGCGUGGGGAGCAAACAGG
rnacentral:rRNA from 1 species